rnacentral:misc_RNA from 1 species
UCGUGGGGCUCCGGCCCCGUCGAGAUAGAACCCUUGCCUUUUUCGAGCACCCAUCCGUUUCCUCGGCAGGCCCGCCUGCCAGUGGGGACCCAAACCAAACCCUUUGCUAUCCUGUACGCGUCUGAGAAACAAGCAAAAGUUA